rnacentral:rRNA from 1 species
CGUCGCCCCACACCAUCGCAACUCCUCCGUCGCCCCAAUGACACCCCACUGCCAUGCCCUCCACCAGGACCCCCACGAGCACCCAACAAAGUCAAGCUCGGGCCAUCGCCCCCAAGCACUUCGCCGGCAACCAUCGCUUCAGAGCCGUGCCAUCAACCCCAAUCACUCAGCCAGCGACCAUACUCCUCCCCGUCGUCCCUCACCACCAUCCUCCUCUGCAGAUCUCCUCCCCCGAGCAGGCCCUCCGCACAAGCUCAACCGAGCACCAAGGAGGUCCUCAAGUGGCACCGCCUCCUUAUUGAGCUCCUCUGGCAGCUGCACCUUCUCCAUCGGUCACACCUCCACUAGAGAUUGG